CGUUUCAUAACCAAAGUGUGUUAAAAGGAAAAUGAAUCCAAGCAGAAACUGAACUCCAUGUUGUAAUCAGCCCUUUGUCAGCUUGUUUCAGCAAGAUUUCCAGAGCCAGAUCCACAGCUGCUACCACAGCUGGAAGCACGGAGCCUCCUGAGAAGCCAGUUGCAGACUCAGAUGCUGCUGUUUCCUGUUUAUUAUUAUAGUGCAAAAGCCUCCGUAUGGAUGAAACCUCCCUCCCUCGCAUCGGAUGAGUACUUCAGAGACUCGCCGCACAAGUUUGACAGAGCUCAGCACAUUUGUCAGGCUUCGCUCCAGAGAGGCUCAGGCCCGUAAUAACCCUGGUAUGGCAGAUCAGAAUCAAAGUGCAAUGUGAAAGCAAUAUCGGCGUGGUUGCUUAGCACAUGGCUGCAAUAUAUUUAUUUUUACCAAGGUCCAGCAGUUGUGCAAUGUUGUAAACUGGCUUCUUACUGUGAAGAAAAAGUGACAAACCUGAAAAAAGCAAACCAUUGUAAUAUGUGAACAGUAUAAAAUAGAUACCAAGUCUGAAAAGUGUAUGUUUAAUGUUAGCAUAAUGAAGUGGAUGAGGGGCAACAGGCACAGACUGAAGCAAGGAGGUUCCACCUGAAUAUGAGGAGAAACUUCUUGGAGGGUGCCAGAGCACUGGAACAGGCUGCCCAGGGAGGUUGUGGAGUCUCCUUCUCUGGAGACAUUCAAGACCCAUCUGGACACAAUCCUGUGUGAUCUACUCUCGGUGAACCUGUUUAAGAGAACAGCUUGGAGGAGUCCAGAGCUGCUGACUGGCCUAUGGAGCUGACAUAAAUACUGCUCUUGGAGACUGUUAAUCUUUAUUGUUUAAAAUUCUGUGUUCUGUAGAGCGAGAGACAAAUACUGCCACUUAUUAUAAAAAAAGUGGAGUGCAGGUACGAGAGCUGCAUAAGCACAAAAUGACUUUGCUUCAUAACAAUUGUGAAACUGUGCCCUUUCAUUUUGUGGUUUUUCCUUCUCUCACCUGGACUCUGAGCUUGAGAUUCGUCCUUCAGAAAAAAAUAGUUUAGUCAUCUCCCUGAGAACAUCCAUUUCCCUGAUCACCUCCACAAUCUCACCCUGAAUGUCUGUUUUUCUUGCAUUUCCUACAACUUUGUACAUGAAAGUUUAAAUUAACUAAAAUAUUUUGGUUGUUCUGCAGGGAUCUUCAGAAUAUCUAUUUUAGCAGCUACUUUUUAAAAAGCUGUGCAUCUUCAAAUUAAAAAGCUAAAAUUGGAGGGUGUAAGAAUACUCGAUCCGAAGGUCACUGGUAACAGCAGAAGGUUCUGAUAGGAAAGCUUUAAAUCACUACUAAGGCUGAAAAACCAUGGUUAUAAUAACUGGUUAAAUUUUCCUUCUCUUCAGCAAAAGUGAGAAAAACUACCAGAUUAGAACACUGAUAAGCCAUUGUCUAACUUUCCCAUUGGUAAAAGACCAUGCUUAUUUGUAUAUCCAAAAGUGCUCAUAUAGUUUGAGAGUUUUGUUACUUUUUUUUUAAUUAUUAUUACAUUGACUUCAGAGUACAAAGCCCACCACAGGGGAUGUCUCUUUAGUGCUAGAAUAAUUAACACAAUGAUAGCUGGGCUUCUACAACACUUAUUAUCAACAUAAUGAGUCAGCCCAGUGUUUGCCUUAACAAACAAAAGGGUUAGGUCAAUGCAGAACAAUUACGUAGGCCUCUUAUUUAAUCUGUUUUCAUUUAGUUAAAUUUUUAAAGUAAGAUCUUUUAAAAUGCAGGAAUAAGCUUCGGCUUUAAAAGUCCAAAAUAAAAAGGUUUUCCACUUUUGGCUGAAACUGUGCUCUGAAUUAAUUGACAUUUGCUAGUUGUUUCAGUCCUCGUGAAACUCCUGUUCUGGAUGAGUUUACAAUGUCCAAACAGUUCACCAGAUGUACUUAAACACAGUAAUCCAGUCAGCACUUUGUCUUCUUUUUGAUAACCUAAGCAGAUUGAGGGUUUUUAGACUUUUCUCCAGCUCUCAAAUCAUGUGGUAGCCUCUCCAGUUUCUCAACAUUCAAUACAAAAUGCAAACACCAGAGAUGUCUAGGAUGUCUUUUAGUAUCCACCUCAUGGAUGGAUUUGGAAGGAAAAAAUCACCUCCCUGGAGUGUCAGGAGAACAUAGUAAGAAAAAUGUUUGAAGAGAAAUACAGAGGAAGAAAAGAUACUAUGAUCACAGUGGAACUACUCUUACUUUUAAGCUGAAGCUGAGUGAGUAUAGGUGGUAGGAAGGCUAUGGUUAUGUCUGUGAAUAAUGAAGCAGCUUUUCUGUGAACAAGCUCAGAGUGCCCUGCACAUCUCAUUGAAAGAUGUAUGAAGGUAUGUAGAAAUUUAACCAUUUUUACAACACUGAUUUCAGCAAGCUGGUGCCUUGAUUGCAGAGAGAAGCUGAUACUAAGGAAGAAGUGGUUCGUUCCAGGAUGGUGACAGUGCACAUCUUGGGUCUCACUGAGGAAGGACAGGAAAGAUACAGAAAUGCGAAGCUGCCCACUGGAGUUGAUCAAGCAUAUCUACUCCAAUCUCUACAUCCCUGUGGAUUUGAUUCAACACAAAGCAUGUGCUGCCUUGAGGGCUCAGUGUGUGCUCAGCAGGAUUACUUAAUGGAAAUGAAGGAGAUGGCCAGGAAAUCAGCACAGUCUGAAGCUACUGGCAGAGGAAGGGGGAAGGGUUUAGUCUUCAGGCACACACUCUUUUUGCGAAGCCUGCCAUCAAUCCCAUCUCCUGUGGAUCCUUCAGAGAACAGCUGUGUCACAGGCAUGAAAGCAAAAGCCUAGUCUACCACAAGAAACACUCCAGCAUUAAUGUCUCAGAUUUUCUGUCCCUAUGACUCCGCUACACUGAUCUUGCACACAAACACGUUCCUUUGUCCUGGCCAGAUCACUACUGUUGUCAACCUUAUCUUCCUUAUCUUGGUAUUUUUAAAAUUAUUUUUGACUGGAUUUCCUUAUUUCUAUACCCCUUUCUUAUCUUUUGCACCAUCCUCUUCUGCUACAAAUGCCCAGAGAACCCCAUGAAGUACAAUGGAAUAAUCCCUCUGCCUGCCAUGCUCUGGCAAAUGAAAAAAGGUGAGAAGAAAAAAUACAAAUAUAAAUACAAUACAUGAUUUCUAUAGCUUCACUCAUUUGCAGUCAUACUAGGAAUGGCAUGUAUGUUAAGAGUGGGGUACUUAAAUUCUUAGACCAUGACCCCAGUACUGUGUCACACGCCAGUUUCAAAGCCAGUUAAAUCACACAAAUUUGUGGCACUCUGUUCACUGCAGCAGACCAUCUACACUAGAAAUUUGCACCGGAGAAUGUCCAUUACUGGAGGGGAAAAACAUCUCAGGCAGGACUAAGAGGAGCAACUCAGAGAGCAGUGGCCACUAGAGUGGAAAUCUAACCCUGUUAAAGUCCAGUAAGCAUAGUGGGGCCAGGAUUUCACCCCAGCCUCUUUUUUCCUGCUUUAAGUGUGUGAUUUGGCAGGGGAAAAGUUCAGCUGAAGGCACACAGUCGGGCUAUACAUACAACAAAGAGACAGGGAGUGGAAAAAAAGCAGCACAAAGGAUUACUUUAAAGUUAGACCUCAGCUCCUUUAACUUUACACAAUGAAGGAAAGCACAUAGGUUUCAACAGGCUAAAAGCAGACUUUAUUUUGUAAAGAGAUCUCAGGAUGAAACAAAGGACUGUAAUUGUACCUCCCUUUUGCAAAUCUGAGGUGCUGAAGGAAAAGAAAGUGGAUGGAUGGUUAACAAGAAUAGCUUGAAACCAUGCUUUGUUAACAGAGUAAAAUUAGCUUGCUGAGAACCUUUAUUUUCCACAUAACUUUUAACAGGAGCAUCAUUUUACAUAUCUCUACAGUAGAGAGCCCAUUUACAAAUUUGCAACAAGGAUCCACUGAACCCGAGCUAAUUUUUCUCUCUGUUUUCUGUUUCUUCUGCUUAAUUAAUGACAAUACCUUUGAGUUGGGUUGCUAGCACAUCUAUAGCUAAAAGUUUGUCAGCGUUUCCAUUCCGCACAUGUGAGCCACUUUCACACUAGCUUAAUUUCACUCUGUGAAACACACCAAAUCAAACCUGGAAAAGGUUUAGAGGUAAAAUAUAGUUUGUUUUCCAAAAAUAUCAUCUAUGUAGCUCCAUUUGAAAUGUGGGAUGAACCUACUGAAAUUAAAACAAGGGAAUACUCAAUUCACAUAUCCUUUUUCUUUGCUCAUUUUUGAAAAUAUGAAAAGCCAUAGGUGGGUCAGACCAGAGGUCUGUCCAGCUCAGCACCUGCCUGCAGCAGGAGUUUACACCAGAUGUUCAGGGAAAAGAGACACCCCUGCCCUCCCCUGCCAUACCUCCCAGCUACUGCCAUAGCAAUGUCCCAUACAUUCAUCAUAUAAAAAGUUGUGAUCUGUAAUAUGUGCUUUUUUCAGUUACGUUUUAGCAGAUGUAUGCCAUACUUGGCAUCAUAAAACCUGCUUCUAAGUACAGUUAUAUUAUUAAGUGUCAGUUCAUUUUGCCAUUACAAUAAACCAUCUGUGGUGGGGUGCACGGGAACGUACUUUUACUUUUGAAUAUUUGUGUUUGCCUUAUGCUUAACACCAAGGAACCAGUGAGGCCUGUCAGUGCUGCCAUCCAAAACCAGAACUCACCAGCCUGUUUUAAAAAGCUGACAACUAAUUUCUCUUUUUUUUUUUAACGUUUUCCACAAUCUUGCAAAUGCAAGAUACAGACUGUCCCAGUCAUUCCUUUCAAAACCUGAUCAGUUUUUGGCUGGAACGCCCUCUACAACUCCACUCUCAAUUCAGAAAUAGAGAUUUUUCCACUCAUUUUUUAGGACUUUUCUACCUUCCAGAGUGAAUUUCAUUAUGAGUUAUGUCAUGGCAGGUGUUCAUCUCCCCUCACCUUCUUAAUGCAGGAAGCAUAUGAGGCAUUACCCACAAUAAUAACCCCACUGAAUGUCUCUACCAGCAAAGAUGACGGAAAAGCCAACUGGCUGCUCUGGAGUUCCCUUUUGUAAGGGAAAUUCCAGGAGAGUUACGGGCCUUGAAUAAGAAUAGCCUUAUUCUAGAAUAUUUUCCUAUAUGAACUUCAUGUUCAGGUAAUGGACUUGGGGAAACAGUUUUUAAAGAAAGGAGGUAACGUUUCUGAAUAACAAUGAAGAACACAGCAAUCCAGCCUCUAUUUCAAACUGUCAUGUUUUAGGGAUUAUAGAUUCAGACUCCUGAUCUUAUCAGACUAUAUUUUUCACAGGUUUCAUUCUUUUUUUAAGUGUUUGAGUUCAUUUGAAUUUAUUUAGCAGAUCCAUCUUUGGAGGAGGAAAUCCCAACAUUAUUAAAUUCAAGGGCUCAGAGGAAUGAAGGUAGAAAAAAUAUUUAUUACUUGGAGAAAUGACUUGAUUAAUACUGAAAGGGUCUCUAACCAAUUUAAAAUAAAGAUUAAUCUGAAUCCAUAUAAUAUAUGGAAUAUCACUCUAAAAUUGCAACUUGAGAAACUAUAUUUUAGUCUUGAAAAGUUCAAUUUCUUCUGCUAUGCCAAACUGAAUAUGUAUUUGCACUCUGAGUUACAUACAUAUUUAACUCUUAUCCUCCAAAUAAACUCUUUUUAAAGUAUUCAUUAAGUCUACAGUAAUACUUUUUUAAAACUAGGUACUAGCAUUUUUUGCAAUAAAAGAGUCAUAAUUUACAAAAUA